GCACCCGUAGCUCAGUUGGAUAGAGCGUCGCCCUCCGGAGGCGAAGGCCGCAGGUUCGACUCCUGCCGGGUGCGCCA
rnacentral:tRNA from 2 species